GGUGAACGCUGGCGGCGUGCCUAAUACAUGCAAGUCGAGCGAACAGACGAGGAGCUUGCUCCUCUGACGUUAGCGGCGGACGGGUGAGUAACACGUGGAUAACCUGCCUAUAAGACUGGGAUAACUUCGGGAAACCGGAGCUAAUACCGGAUAAUAUAUUGAACCGCAUGGUUCAAUAGUGAAAGACGGUUUUGCUGUCACUUAUAGAUGGAUCCGCGCCGCAUUAGCUAGUUGGUAAGGUAACGGCUUACCAAGGCAACGAUGCGUAGCCGACCUGAGAGGGUGAUCGGCCACACUGGAACUGAGACACGGUCCAGACUCCUACGGGAGGCAGCAGUAGGGAAUCUUCCGCAAUGGGCGAAAGCCUGACGGAGCAACGCCGCGUGAGUGAUGAAGGUCUUCGGAUCGUAAAACUCUGUUAUUAGGGAAGAACAAAUGUGUAAGUAACUAUGCACGUCUUGACGGUACCUAAUCAGAAAGCCACGGCUAACUACGUG
rnacentral:rRNA from 1 species